rnacentral:rRNA from 1 species
GACAGAGGGCUCAAACGUUGUUCGGAAUUACUGGGCAUAAAGCGCACGUAGGCGGCUCACUAAGUCGGUUGUGAAAUCCCUCGGCUUAACCGAGGAACUGCCCUCCAAACUGCUUUGCUUGAGGCCGGGAGAGGUGAGUGGAAUUCCCAGUGUAGCGGUGAAAUGCGUAGAUAUCGGGAGGAACAUCAGUGGCGAAGGCGGCCCUCUGGUCCAGUACUGACACUCAAGUGCGAAAGCGUGGGGAGCAAACAGG